rnacentral:rRNA from 1 species
AACGAACGCUGGCGGCAGGCCUAACACAUGCAAGUCGAACGCACCGCAAGGUGAGUGGCGCACGGGUGAGUAACACGUGGGAAUGUACCCUUUGGUUCGGAAUAACGUUUGGAAACGAACGCUAAUACCGGAUGAGCCCUGCGGGGGAAAGAUUUAUCGCCAAAGGAGCAGCCCGCGUCUGAUUAGCUAGUUGGUGGGGUAAAGGCCUACCAAGGCGACGAUCAGUAGCUGGACUGAUAGGAUGAUCAGCCACACUGGGACUGAGACACGGCCCAGACUCCUACGGGAGGCAGCAGUGGGGAAUAUUGGACAAUGGGCGCAAGCCUGAUCCAGCCAUGCCGCGUGAGUGAUGAAGGCCUUCGGGUUGUAAAGCUCUUUCGCACACGACGAUGAUGACGGUAGUGUGAGAAGAAGCCCCGGCUAACUUCGUGCCAGCAGCCGCGGUAACAC